UAAACAGACCCGCCGUGGUUGCUCAGUGGCUAUGGUGUUGGGCUGCUGAGCACGAGGUCGCGGGAUCGAAUCCCGGCCACGGCGGCCGCAUUUCGAUGGGGGCGAAAUGCGAAAACACCCGUGUACUUAGAUUUAGGUGCACGUUAAAGAACCCCAGGUGGUCCAAAUUUUCCGGAGUCCCCCCCUACGGCGUGCCUCACAAUCACAUCGUGGUUUUGGCACGUAAAACCCCAUAAUUUAAGUUGAUAAGCGCUUGACUGACGCCUACUAGACUAUCUCAAAGUCAUCAAGUCACGAAGAGCUGGUGUGGGAAUUCCAACAUGGUGGCGCCACCUACCUUACGAGUCUGCACCGGUUUCUGAUUUACAGACAAUCCGACCACAAGAUCAGUGGUCUAUUUGAUGUUCUAUUAGUAAAUAAGUCUACCAGUCUACAGCCUAACCCGAUAUUUCCCUUCGGUGUUCCUUUGAUGACGGUGUUGCCAAUGUGGUGCAUCGGCUUACCUCAGUGUGCGCAGGUGGUCGCUACGAGACACGUUUGUUGAGACGCUGGCCUUUGAACCUUCUUCCCUGCCUGUACAGAGCCGCACGUGACAAUGUUUCGGACCUUCCAAGAUUUUAUCUCGGUAUAUUUGUGGACAAACUGUAUAUCGAUCAACCAUCGCCUGUAUCACUCUGAGCUUUGGUUGUUUUCUUCUCUUGUUACUAAUAUGCGAUAACCAAGUGUACGAAAUGUAGCCGCGGCUUCCUAUACAUAUUACUACAAAAAAAGAAUUAUACAUACAUCUAUAAAUAAUAUACAUAAUAUACAUAAAUCUACACAUGAAUAAAAUAUCUUUCCUUCUGUA